rnacentral:tRNA from 1 species
GUAUUGCUGAUUCAGUAGUAGAAUUCUGCCCUUCCAUGUGAGAAACCCAGGUUCAAUUCCUGGCCAACGCA